UCAUGAAUGUGAAUGUUGAUGUCUUAUUUCUCCAACAGGGUUAACGAUGAGACUAAGGAAGUGACUCCUGGUGCACAGAGUCCAGGACCUCCUCAGAUGAAUGGAGGACCUCCCAUGUCUAACAGAGCUGCAGAGGAGACCACUGCUCUAUUGCACAAAUAGGCCUUGGACAAGGACCAAGUCACCAAACCUCCUGAGUUAAUAGACAAAGGACCUAAUGACAUGGAAUCAAGAGGAGAACUGUAACAAACGAUGGACGUUUGUAUAGGAAAAGAAAACCUAAUAAGAUAUAAGAUACAGUAAUAUAUGAUAUACAGUACUUAUUAUAAGAUACACAUAUGUGACUAACUUCAUCAUAAUUAGUCUUGUCAACCCCAAGACACAUUCUGACCAGUGUGUUUUACUGCACAUUGAUUUUCAGAAGCCUCAAAAGUUUAAUAAGUUAAUUCUCUAUGUGACAAGUGUAGUCUGGAUAGGUUAGGAAACCUAAGUGAAAUCAGUUUAAGUGAAAUCAGUUGAAAUUCCAAAACAGCCCAAGACUUGUAGAAUUAUUAUUAUCUACAUUUUGUAUGACAAUCUGAAAAUGAGAGUGACUUGUGACUGAUUAUGAUACAGCAUGUCACAUAUUAGCUAUACAACAUUAUAAAGAUAUGAAAGGAUGGCAAGAUCAUACUUACGCUAGUAUUGUUUACUAUACAUACAAGCAAAUAUCAAUCACAUACACAUGGGAAGAUGCAUAAAACAUAAACCUCUUUAGUAGAGACAUUUCCAAGGUCCUGAGGUCUCAAUGUCUUGUGGACAUGUCAAAUAGCUAAACAUUGACCCAGUGUUAUUUACACUAUAUAUACAAAAGUAUGUGGACACCCCUUCAAAAGAAUGGUUUCGGCUGUUUCAGCCACACCCGUUGCUGACAGGUGUAUACCAUCGAGCACACCGCCAUGCGAUCUCCAUAGACAAACAUUGGCAGUACAAUGGCCUUACUGAAGAGCUCAGUGACAUUCAAUGUGGUACCGUCAUAGGAUGCCACCUUUCCAACAAGUCAGUUCAUAAAAUGUCUUCCCUGCUAGAGCUGCCCCGGUUAACUGUAAGUGCUGUUAUUGUGGAGCAACAACGGCUCAGCCGCGAUGUGGUAGGCCACACAAGCUCACAGAACAGGGCCGCCCAUGUGCUGAAGUGCGUAAAGUGUAAAAAUUGUCUGGCCCCUGGGUUUGGCACAUGCCAGGAAAAUGGUACCUGCCCCAGUGCAUAGUGCCAACUGUAAAGUUUUGUGGAGAAGCAAUAAUGGUAUGGGUCUGUUUUCAUGGUUCUGGCUAGGCCCCUUAGUUCCAGUGAAGGGAAAUCUUAACGCUACAGCAUACAAUGAUAUUCUAGAUUAUUCUGUGCUUCCAACUUUGUGGCAACAGUUUGGGGAUGGCCCUUUCCUGUUUCAGCAUGACAAUGCCCCUGUGCACAAAGCGAGGUCCAUACAGAAUUUUUUUUUCGAGAUCGGUGUGGAAGAACUUCACUGGCCUGCACAGAGCCCUGACCUCAAUCCCAUCAAAUACCUUUGGAACGCUGACUGUGAGCCAGGCCUAAUUGCCCAACAUCAGCGCCCGACCUCACUAAUGCUCUUGUGGCUGAAUGGAAGCAGGUCCCCUUAGCAAUGUUCCAACAUUUAGUGGAAAGCCUUCCCAGAAGAGUGGAGGCAGUUAUAGCAGCAAAGGGGGGACCAACUCCAUAAUAAUGCCCAUGAUUUUGGAUUGAGACGUUCAACGAGCAGGUGUCCACAUACUUUUGGUCAUAUUGUGUAGAAGAGACAUCAUUAUCACAGGGCCCAGUCUAAGAUGCUCUAUUUUACUGAAGAAAUGAUUCAUUAUUUCUGAAUUGAGUUACAGCAUGUUAGUUUUAAAAUAACUUGCAUAAUUUGUCCCAACUUCAGCAAAACAUUUCACAGACAUUUAACACACACCUGUAAUCCUACUUUCAGUAAAGAAAGUUGAUGUUCCAUUUUCCUUUAGAGACUAGAGUCCUCAAACUCAACUCUGGACCUCGAAACAA